UCCCGCAUUGGUUUAUUGCAGAUACUUGGUCCCACGAGACAUGACUGUUGGACAUUUCAUUCAUAUGCUAAGCAAAAGGAUGCACUUAGAUCGAUCCAAAGCUCUCUUUGUUUUCGUACACAACACACUUCCUCAAACCGCUAGUCGCAUGGACUCUCUCUACAAUACUUUCAAAGAAGAAGAUGGGUUCUUGUACAUGUGCUACAGCACCGAGAAAACUUUUGGCUAACCAAAGAUUUGUCGCUUCAUAUCUGAUCGAAGCGCACUCUGAAUAAUCCAUUUGUUUGAUUCUUAUGUUUGUGAAUAACGUCAGCUCUUGUUGUUGUUAUUGUUAUUGUUAGCUGACAUUGUACAGAAAAGCUAAAAAAAAAAAACAUUUGACUUUGUAAAUUAUUUAUAACUCAAAUAUGGCAAUAAUAAGACAGGUGAUGAUGAUUCACACGAAACC